rnacentral:lncRNA from 12 species
AUGCUUCAAUAUAAAAUAGUCACCUCAUCAUGCACAAGAUCAUCAGUAAGGGUAAAGCAUGUUACCUGUUCAUGCAAGCAGUGCUACUAUUCUGCUUGCACCGCCUGGUUCUCUGGUCAAGAAGCUGAUUUCAGCAUUGCCAAUGGUCUUUUUUCUUGUCUUCUAGUUCUCUCUAGCACAUGCUCUUCAGGUAUGUACAGCUUGGUAGGUAUUACAGGGAAAUAUUCUGAAUUCAAAACACAUGUAGUUUCUUUUAAGUCACAUAUAGAUAACUAG